rnacentral:lncRNA from 1 species
GUGGACACCGAAAUUCUUUGCCUGAAAACCUUUUAAAAAUAUGAAAACAAGACAAAAAAUGGCUGGGUUUUCUUUUAGAGUGGCAAUGUCAUUUGUCCAGAAGGGGGAGCUCUCAGUCCGCAUGCAGCGGAGCAAGGCAGACAGUCUGGUAUCUUAUCUGCUGCUUGGGAAAUUGUCUGACAGGAAAAUAUCAACACAAACCAUGCGAUUUGCCGCUGGAGCACGCUGGACCUCAUCUGCUUAAAAAGAUGCACGGAUAUAGUCAUCACAGUUCAUAAUUUAAUAAACUGCAGACACAGGGAUGUAAAAUUAAAAAGCCUCUCGAGUUCCAGAAGCAGAUUCUGCUUUGCUCUAUUUGUGAAAGACAACUGGAUGAGUAAAGAUUACUACUUGCAAUGAGACUAGCAAUUUAUCCGAAAUUGGAAACAGAGAAAACAGCAUCUUCUUUUCACUCAUUCUGACUCAAAAUGGGUGUAGGCUAAUCUCCUAGGAAUGGAUUCUAGGACGGCAUCAGCAGGGGAUGCAUCAGGACGAUAAUUCCAAGAGUUCAGUGGUGAAUUUCCUUGGCUUCCACUGAAUCAUGUUGAAUUUUUCCCAAUGGUAAUCUUAUGAUGGCUGCAGCUACCUGUUAACUUCAACAAGCACACUGGCCUGGAGACUACAUGAUGGUGUAUCAGUAAUGGGGUGCCUCUCCAUCAUUGCCCAUCAAAGACAUUUCUGAUGCUACAGAAGGAUACCCUUGAGGUCAUCCUGUUCUCACCUCCAAUAUUCAUUAUGAUCUCUAACAUCACUAUAUACAACAUUUUUGUGUAUAUGAUUUACAACUGCAAACAUCUCAAGCAGCAGUGCCACAUCCCUGCUACCUCCCUGCUUGUGCGUGUGUCCCUACAUUAUCCAAAA